GUGCCAGCAGCCGCGGUAAUACAGAGGGGGCAAGCGUUGUCCGGAUUUACUGGGCGUACAGCGCGCGCAGGCGGUUGCGUAUGUGAGCGGUGACAUCCGCGGGCUCAACCCGCGGCGGCCCGCUUACACAGCGCGACUGGAGGCAGGGAGAGGGAUGUGGAAUACCCGGUGGAGCGGUGAAAUGCGUAGAGAUCGGGUGGAACACCAGCGGCGAAGGCGGCAUCCUGGCCCUGUACUGACGCUGAGGCGCGAUAGCGUGGGGAGCAAACGGGAUUAGAUACCCCUGUAGUCC
rnacentral:rRNA from 1 species